AGGUCAGUAGCUCAAUCGGUAGAGCAUCGGUCUCCAAAACCGAGGGCUGGGGGUUCGAGUCCCUCCUGGCCUGCCA
rnacentral:tRNA from 1 species